rnacentral:rRNA from 1 species
AUUGAACGCUGGCGGCAUGCUUUACACAUGCCAGUCGAACGGUAACAGGCCUUCGGGUGCUGACGAGUGGCGAACGGGUGAGUAAUUCAUCGGAACGUGCCCAGAGGUGGGGGAUAACGCAGCGAAAGCUGUGCUAAUACCGCAUGUGAUCUGAGGAUGAAAGCGGGGGACCAGGCAGCAAUGUUUGGCCUCGCGCCUUUGGAGCGGCCGAUGUCAGAUUAGGUAGUUGGUGGGGUAAAGGCCUACCAAGCCGACGAUCUGUAGCUGGUCUGAGAGGACGACCGGCCACACUGGGACUGAGACACGGCCCAGACGCCUACGGGAGGCAGCAGUGGGGAAUGUUGGACAAUGGGCGCAAGCCUGAUCCAGCAAUGCCGCGUGCGGGAAGAAGGCCUUCGGGUUGUAAACCGCUUUUGUACGGAACGAAAAGGCUCUGGCUAAUACCUGGGGCUGAUGACGGUACCGUAAGAAUAAGCACCGGCUAACUACGUG